GCAAGUCGAACGCUCACCUUCGGGUGGGAGUGGCAGACGGGUGAGUAACACGUGGGAACGUACCCUUUGGUUCGGGACAACUCUGGGAAACUGGAGCUAAUACCGGAUACGCCCUUUUGGGGAAAGGUUUACUGCCGAAGGAUCGGCCCGCGUCUGAUUAGCUAGUUGGUGGGGUAACGGCCUACCAAGGCGACGAUCAGUAGCUGGUCUGAGAGGAUGAUCAGCCACACUGGGACUGAGACACGGCCCAGACUCCUACGGGAGGCAGCAGUGGGGAAUAUUGGACAAUGGGCGCAAGCCUGAUCCAGCCAUGCCGCGUGAGUGAUGAAGGCCUUAGGGUUGUAAAGCUCUUUUAUCGGGACGAUAAUGACGGUACCGGAGGAAUAAGCCCCGGCUAACUUCGUGCCAGCAGCCGCGGUAAUACGAAGGGGGCUAGCGUUGCUCGGAAUCACUGGGCGUAAAGGGCGCGUAGGCGGCGUUUUAAGUCGGGGGUGAAAGCCUGUGGCUCACCACAGAAUGGCUUCGAUACUGGGACGCUUGAGUCUGGUAGAGGUUGGUGGAACUGCGAGUGUAGAGGUGAAAUCGUAGAUAUUCCCAAGAACACCGGUGGCGAAAGCGGCCACUGGACGGCCCUGACGCUGAGGCGCGAAAGCGUGGGGAGCCAACAGGAUUAGAUACCCUGGUAGUCCACGCUGUAAACGAUGAAUGC
rnacentral:rRNA from 1 species